rnacentral:piRNA from 1 species
UUUCUGCUUGUCCAAAAUCUGUGUUGCUU